rnacentral:lncRNA from 1 species
UCCAAAAAUUAUUGAAACAAAAAAGGGUGGGAAUAUAGACUAACUUUUCUCUUGAAAAGAAAAAAAGUUCUCCAAGCCAUUAGAUCUAAAAUAAAAAAUCGCAUCCCUUGAAUAAAAGACUCGAUCAAAAGUUGUCUUCUUAAACUAAUAACUGGACACCAUGUGGCAUCAUCUUAAACUUUAUCGAUUAGAAAAAUUCAAAUCCUAUCAUUGAUUUGUCUCUCCUCCAGCUAUAAAUAGUCUCUUGGAAGAGAGAAUUAGAUCCCAUCCCUCUCCUUUUGAAGCUUCUUCUUUUUCCCCCGUAUC